rnacentral:lncRNA from 1 species
CUGGUGAUGAGCAACCAGCCCACAUCAGAGGAGCUGGAACUAGGUGAUCUCUGAGGUCCCUUCCAAUUCAAGCCAUUCUGUGUUUCUAUGUGACCGUCACUGAGGGAACUCCGAUAGCUACGGGGCUUCGUGCACUGCGGGGAGCUCCCUGGGUACUGCGAGAGAUUCAAGCAGCGCCACGGAGAAAUCCUAAUGGGACGACCUGGGUGUCGGGGGCAACCGCGCGGGGUUCUCACUGACCGCCGAGGAUGAAGCUGCCGACGGCGGAGAUAAAGCCGCUGAGGAAGGAGUUGAAGGGAAAGGUGCCGACACCCAGGCAGUAGCCAAACUGGAGCGCCCCGGUGAGCAUCACGUACAACAGGUAUGCGUCCAGCACCUUGAGACGGCUCGACGUGCCACUGCCGUACUCCGCCAGGAAACGCCGCACCACAGAACCUACCGAGCCCGCAGCCCCCACACCCGAACCCGCCGUGCCCGACAUGCUCCCCCCAGAAGAAAGCUGAGGUGGCCGGAAGCAGAGCGGACAAGCGCUUCCGGGACACAGCCGAGCAACACACGCGCAUGGCCAGUCCACUUCCGGGUCAGAGAUAGUGCGCAAACGCAGUUGUCCUGCCCGCAAAAGGGCGGAACUGAGGUGUUACUAGAGAUAAUACGCAUGCGCAUAAGUACGUGCCGGAUUGGCUGAAAGGUGCUUCCGGCUGGCGCGUGCGCAGAAGUCUCUCGGUCUCCAGAGGUGCCCUUGUGUGAGAUCAGUUCGUGGCGGUAGGAGGUGGGAUUGGUGGGGUGGUUUUGCCAGGAUGGAGUAUGGGGGUUUAUGUGUCUUCCUUCUACGAUGCCUGGCAUGCUGAAGUCUCAACGGUCCUGAAGAAAACUGAGACCUGAGCAUCACAGCAGCAACGGGGUGUCUGGGAAGAUAUCCAAAAGCCAUCCUUCUUCUUCCAGAUUCCUGCAACUGUUGCUUUUGUGUAGGUCCCUUUAUAUUUAUGUCCAGAGGGAAGCAUUAUGUGAUGGGUGAUGGUUGCAGUAGGUGAUCCUAGAGUUUUUUUCCAACUCUAAUGAUUCUAUGAUUGUAUGAUUGAGAACUACAGCGUUUCCUCUCCACCUUACUCAUCCCAGGCUACUCUCUGCUGCAAGGGAGUAUAGACAGUGUAUCUCCUCCAGGUACAGUAACAGUUCUCCUUGUGUUGGUUUAUCUCAUACCUGAACCAGGAGCCUCCUGGAUUGUUUGCAGCCCACUAUAUUGCUUUCCCAACAGAUAUUCAGGUUGAAAUCCCUCAUCAGGAUGAGAGCUUCUGACGAUGAUGCUUGUAGUUGAAGCAAGAAGUUCUUGUCAGCGGGAUUCCCUUGAUCAGGCAGCCUAUAGCAGGCCACGACCACCAGAUAUCCUGUCUUGGCACAGUCCCUAAUUUUUACUCACAAGCUCUCAACCUAUUUAUGGGUGGUUUUGUUUUUUUUUUUUUUUUUUUUUUUAGAGGCAGUUCUUUACAAUCUACCCAUUCCUUAACACAGAGCACAAAAACCCUGCUUCUCUUUCCCUUCUAAAAAACACAUAGCCCUUGUUUGCAGUGUUCCAGUUGUGUGAUUGUCAUACCUACGUGCCAUGGUCUAUGUAAGUUGUUAAAGAUCACUAUACACGUAACUUCAUAUAGUCACAGUUUCUUUCUUCACUGGCUAAUGCUUCACACUCUCCUCCUCAGCUGAUGAUGUAUCGUAGUGGAUUCCCAUUCAAUCAGAACAAGAGUUGAUACUGCAGAUAUUGAGUGUGUUCACUUGCAGUUUUGGGUCUCUGCUCGCAGUAUUACCAGUGAGUGGCUGCAUGAGCAGAUAGUGAACUGGGGAAGGAGCAUCAUCUAGUGCAUGCUUGUGAUAAACUACUUGCUAAGGGAAAGUCUGCACUUCAGGAAUAAAAGUCUCUGCCUGUACCCCUUCCUAGGGUUUUCCCAGCAUUGCAGAUGAGCACAUUACUAUCUCCUUCUCAUUACUUUAGAAUGUUUUUAAAGAAAUGAAGAUGCUUAAGGAGAGCACCUAGAUGGUCCACAGAAAUCCUGGGAUGGACAGCUGCUCAAGAUGAUGAUUCACCUGAACCCAAAUACACAUUUCUUUUAGGCUGGGAUGUACUGUGUCUGGAGAUGCUGAAAACAGGCACAAUUAAGAGAGCUUACCCCACUGUACACUGUGAUGACUUUCCAGACUUUCAGGAGAGAAAACUUCCAGGCAGGAGCAGAACUAAACCACAUCUUCACCUCUAGUUCCCUGUAUGUAAAGACCUACUGGCUACAUCACAAUACUCCAGAAUAUCUUGAGCAAAUACUGCACUCUCCUCUAAUCUUCAGGAUAAAGCCAUGAUUUUCCUGGUGCCUGGGAAUGAGAACUGGGGUCUCAGUGUCACUUUUUUCACCCCAUACGCCUUGCCUCCCUGUUUGUUCUGGAAAUCCUUACCUCACAGGAAGGCCAACAGAAAGCUCUUUCACUUUUCCUUCCGUAAACUGAGCCCUGGAUCUAAAACACUGGAAUGCUUUAACCUCUUCCAGCUUUCCUUGUGGCAUACAAAUAAUCCAUAUCUUGGGAAGUGUCUCCUUUGAGAUUUCAGGGAGAGAGCAAUACAUAAUUGUUUCUCUGCACUUUGCACUUGUCUGUUCCAGACAGAAAAGGUGAGUCUUAAAGGAAGAACAGCGUUUAUUUUGGAAGUCACAUAGUGCAGUGGAGUGAAAACGUUAAAGAUAUAAAGGUAGAUCAUUAACAAGCCAGUAACCUUCCUGCUAUAGCUAGGAUAAGUCAGCCAUCACCCAUCUGUCUGCAGGACAGAGUGCUGCUACAGGUAAGAUCAAGACUGUCACAUCUUGUAGCUUGCAGAAAAUUUGCUGUUUAUUGGAAUAUGAACCAGAGACUUUGCCAACAUGGAGGGCAGGAAGUGUGGUGCAGCACAUUUUCAGUGGGAGCUAUGGUUACUAUGCCUUUUGUUGAUACCUCUAAACAUUCAUCUUUUCUAUUGUGCGUGGCACUUCUGUGCCAAGAGAGCACACCUGUGAGCAGGCCAGUAGCCCACUUUGCCAAAGUUGCAUUUGGAAAGGGCCACCACUCCAUGAAAAAAGUUAUGCUUCCCUUCCACUCCCAUCUUCAGCUAAAACAAACAUGGUGGAGGCUGUGAACGAGAGGUUUUCUGUUGCGCUCGGCAUGAUGCAGAUGUAGCCCAGCUAGUAGAAUACUUCUCACAAGUAAUGAGAAUUCAUCUGUUGUGUAAAAUCCUACUUGGUAGCAGCAGUGGGGUUACAGCAUGGCAGGUAAAUUUAAGCUAUGCUUUGUGGCCCUGUUUUGUUCCACAGGUGUUGAUGUUCUAUAUGCUGAUGUUAAGCUCAUAGCCUAAAGACACUUGGACUCACACUGCUCCCAAGGAGGGUGUUACUUGCCUCCAGGCACUUGUCCAGCUGAGACACUGCAAUGAGGGAGAGAUGGGAAGUGAGGCAGGAAGGAAGGUCCACAGAAGGAAAGGAAAAAGAAGGCAUAGGACUAUUUCACCUGACCCCAGGAAAUUGAGGUCCUGUAAAGGGAUAAGGCAAGUCCCAUUGGAGAGAAAGGGAAGGAAGCUAUGCUGUGUAGAUCUGCAGGAAAAGGACUUUCAAGGCUCACCAUCUCGGCUGCACAGCCAGGUUACAGCCUUUGCCUCCAGCAAUUCACAUAGCUCAUGGUAACGCCUGUUGUCUCUCUGCAGCCAGGUCACAGCCAGCACUGUUGCCCAGAAACUAGGCUCCAUGACCUGUAGGAGAACAAUGAAUGACACUGCUGUACAUCCUCCCUGACCCUCACUCCUUCCCACCCCCUCUUUUGUGGCUAGUGGUUUCUGAUCCUUUCACUAGUUCUCCCUGCCCAGGACUACACGCUGCCUCCAGAAAGGAUCAUCCUCUUACCUCACCAGGCAUCUUUCCCUUGAUUUCAGCCUCCUCAACCUGUAGCACAGAAGCUAAACCUGAGCUGAGGGUCCAGGAGCCAUCUACAUUCUGCAGUGCCACCAGCUCUCUGCACUCAGCAAUGGCUUCAUUCAUCCAUGGCCCAAAAAUUUGAGAGCACAAAACAAAUCUUGUUGAAUCCACAUACUUGAGAGAGAAAAUGGAUGGUGGUGGCUGUUCAGGUGCUGUGAAACAAGACAUGAACAGGGAAUCACAGGAAGAUGACUCCUCUCCAUUCCCCUGUGCAGUGCCCCAGAACACUCAUCUCUACUCUUCCUUGGGCAGUUACCUGCAGACUGAGACCCUCCCUGUAUGUCCUCAGUGUGAUCUUGUCCCCAGCGCUUUUUGGACAUCCUUUACUCAUCCCUCUUCCCUUGACAUUUCUGCCUAGCCAGGUGCCCCAGUGGUCUCCUGACAUCCUCAACAUAUAUCGUCCAAAUGUGCUUUCACGCUGAAGCACUGGCCCUAACGCCUCCACGGGCAUCCUUGACCUGGAUCUCACAAUUGCUGAAGGACUUUCAGCUUUAAUACUAAUUAAGGGAAAGAUUAAACUCACUAGUUUUAAGACCAAGAGCAGGACAUGUAAAAAAGCAACAGAACACUCCUAUCAGAUAUUAAUUAAUCCCUGUAUUUCCUAUCUGUGUCAAAGCUUUGUACCUUCUUUGUGAGCCCCAUGCUGGAGUAAGUUAGCAAUGCCAUUGGUGAGACGCUUGAUGGCAAUCCGUGACUCCUGCACUGCAGUGUGCCAUCUAGGUGGGUUCCAUAUGGUCUUAGGAAAGCAGGAAGUGUCAGUCAAGGAGCCACGUAGCAAAAGGAUCUUGCAGGGAACGAAUGACUGGCGAGGUGACAGCAGUGCCAGGGGCCCUUUGAGAGUUAAGAAGGAAAGGGGCUGAAUUAAGGUAGUGGGGAGAAAAGCACCUGUUGAUGAUGGGGCUUAUGCAUAUUGUGGCUGGACUUCUGGCUCCUGUGGAAUGAGAACAACACAUGGAAAUACCUCUCCAGUUCUUUUCCCCAAGUGUCUUUCCUUACCAUGGUACCAGGGGGCCCUCCGUGAUGUACGAACACCCACAUAGCUGGUGAAGGGGCAGAUGAUCCCAGAUGUGAGACUGAUUUCAAUGGCACGCUGCAUUGGUUCAUCCCCUGACCCUCUCACAACCUCUGGCAACAGUAGCUUCUCCAGCAAAUGUCUUGCAGCCAGAUGAUGACCAGCCAUCCUGGGGACAGAGUAGAGUGAGGCCUGACAACCUGGGGAGAAAGGGCCUGUGUUCUCUCCUUUCAGGAGUGAGGAUGUGCAAAGGGAAGACCUGGAUGCAUGGACCCUUCUAUCUUGAAGGAAGUGAUGCCCAUGUUCCUGGGUCCUGUCCAUGUGGGUUCAAAACAGGGAAGGAGACCAUGCUUGGACACUUGGGUUCUCUCUCAGUUUGGCACGGUGUGAGAAAGCUGGGAAUGUGUGAGCUAUCCGUGUCCUCCAUCAGCUGGAGUCCACGUGUAGAAAACAAGGAGAUGCUCUUACCGGCCAUCUCCCUGUGGGCAUAGUGGGAACUGGAUCUUGUGAGUGACAUCCUGGCCAUCCAGGUUGAAAUGCAAGGUCAUGACACCACUGGCCUCCUUCAUAUCCUGGAAACACAUGUAAAAUUACUGGAGACACAUGAUGGCUGCUGAGGGAUAUUUGGAAGUUACUGAAAGAUUACCUGUAGUUAUUGGGAGGUCAUUGGAAGGUAACUGUAGUUAACUGGGAUGGUAGCCCCAGCUCUCACCUGUUCCUUUCCAUGGAUCUGUGCAUAGAGGAAGAUGUGCUGACCCUGAAAGAUGAACUGGGGGGUCCCUCCCAGCACCUCGACCUCCAGGCCAGAGGGCAAAGUCCACUCCAGAGAGACUCCCUCAGCUACUGGCUUGAGGGCCUGCUUCAAGCAUUUCAACACCUGGGGAGAAAUGGCAGAACACCACAAUCUGGCAACUCCAUGAGAGUUCAGUAUGUGGCCCCUCUGAGUUCUUAGGGGACACUGGGAUAUGAUUGGUGGUGUUCAGUUUUGGCUGGGAUAGAGUUAAUUUUCUUCCUAGGAGCUGGCACAGUGCUGCAUUUUGGAUUAAGGAUGAGAAUAAUGUUGAUAACACAUUGAUAUUUUAGUUGUUGCUAAGCAGUGCUUACAUUAAGUCAAGGAUUUUUCAGUUUCUCAGACUGCCCUGCCAGCAAGAAGACUGGGGAAACACAAGGAGCUGGGAGGGGAUGGGACCAGGACAACUGACCCAAACUGGCCGAAGGGAUAUUCCAUACCAGAUGACAUCAUGCUAAAUGAUAACACUGGGAGGGGGGAACUAAAUGAUAACACUGGCUGCGGCAGGGAGAGAUUGCUGCGUGGGGACUGGCUGGGUGAUGAGCAACAGCAUUGUGCAUCACUUGUUCCAGAUAUUCUUUUAUCAUUAUUAUUAUUAUUAUUUUCCCUUUGUUUUCCAUCCUCCUAAACUGUCAUUAUCUCAACUCAUGUGUUUUACCUUUUCUUCCAGUUUUCUCCCACAUCCCACUGGUGGAUACUGAGCGAAGGACUGUAUGUUGCAGAUGGCCUGCACCAGGUAGCUUCCCUGGGAGCAGUCAGGUCUGUGAGCUAUAGCAGGGGAGAAGCCUGGGCACUGGGGUUCUCAGUGGAGUGGGGCAUUUGGGUAGAGUCAGGGAAGCCUGGGUGCCUGGGUCCCAAGGGCAGCUAGGUCUUGGCUGCCAUGAGUGGGUUGUCCAAGUACCUGGAAGGCUGUGCAUUAGUGGAAUAGAGGGCACCAACCAGGGCUCCUGGGUUCCUACCUGAACUAUCACAUUGUCAGAAGAGACAUAGACAGCUUCACCAUCCGUCUCCCUGGCCAGGGCUGUGGCCAGGGAAACACUGUCCGUGGAAAAACAGAAGGAGAAACACCUAUUGCAGAACCAAGGAAAGAUUUCAGAAAUGGGAGCCAAGUAUAGACGCAAUGAUGCAGGGAAAAGAGCUGGAGAAUACUAGAGUUAUAGCUGGGGAUACAAAUCUGGGGUGCAGAACAAGAGGACAGGAGGAAUAUCAGUGAGUGGACUGAAGGACUGGGAUAGGAGCUGGCAUUAGACAGGGAGCUGUCAUAGGUGGGCUGGAGCUUGGGGCAGAUCUGGGGCCAGUCUACUGGGGGUGUACAUCUGAGUGUACAGUGCCUGUAGCUCAGUCUCCCUGCUCCCUUUGUGAAGGGUGCCUUGAGUAUGGGACUAUUAAGCAAGGACUCCCCUGUGGAGGCUUGACACAGAACAGAGCUGUGCAAGGUAAGAAGAGUCUCUGGGACAGAGAAUGGGCCUAAGAACUGAGACAGGUGAACACAGACACUCAUCAAUGAUGGGAAGAGAUCACAGAGUAACUGAAAGACUGGGGGCAGAGUCCCCAUUACCGGUGGCUGUUGCGAUGAUGGCAGACCUCAGCAGCAAUGGCUUCAGUGUCAGGUGGUAGCUCAGACAUGAAGAUGAAGAGCUGGGAGACAGGAAACAUCAGUGGUGAGCCUUUGCACAAGGACCCCCAAAUGUGGACAGCAGGUCCCUGAAAUGGAGAGAAGGGCCCAGGAGAGAGAUCCCCUGUAGAGAAACCACCCCCAGAGAGAUAUCCACUCAGGGACAGAAACCCCUUGAGAUGUAGAACUAUUUUUUCUGCACUCUUCUACACCUCACAGUAUCCUUCUUGUUCACCUAUGACCAGCAUUCCCCUUGGGUUGCUCAGUCCACUCCCCCCUCCACCCCCCUUUUCCUAUGUUCUCUCUGUACCCCUGGGACAUCUAUCUUUCCAUCUUUCCAUGCCCCUGUGCACAGACCUGGCGUGCAUGUCCGCAGGGGCGGGGAGUACUGUAGAUUGUGCGAAGGGUUCCCAGCAGGUCCGUGUCACCCAGCCUGGAGCCAGUUGUGGAAAUGAGUUGCAUUGCCUCAUUCAGGUUGUCCUGGGUAUAUUCAACACUCUGCCUACAGCAGACAGAAUGUGUUUGCAGAGCACAUUCAUAGAAUCAUAGAAUGGUUUGCAUUAGAUCUUAAAGAUUAUUGAGCUCUAUCACCCCUGCCAUGAGUAUGCUUGCCAACAUUUCCCUAUGCUGGUCCUGGUGCUCUCUGAGACCCACUACCAUAGCUGUACCCCAUCAUUUUCUGCAAGACCCUGCCCCCUACUAGUUCAUAAAGAGAUCUUGAGUCCUAGUUCCUACAAGACUCUGCUCAACAGAACCACAAGAGAUGCUCUCCCAUACUACCACAAAGAUUCCUUCCCCAGAGUCCAGCCCUGCCGUCCAGUACUGCCUCCAGUCAUGCCUUCCAGUACCCAACAUUGUGCCAUACCAAUCAGCCUACUUCAGAGCAUCCCAGCCUGCCCUCUGACAUCUCAUUCUGCCUCAUAACAUCUAUCAUAGCCCCAUAGCACCCAGCCAUGCUCCACAGUAUCGAGCCCUUCCCACCAGCUACAUAACACUCAUCCUGCCCCAAGUUUUCUUACGGGUAGAUGCCCACAGGUGUUGCUCCAUAGCAGUAGAUGUUGAAGUAGCAGCCCAAGGGUAGGCUUUUGAGAAGGAAGAGCAAGGGGUCCUGUGGAAAGACAUAGCAGGCUUGUCUUAGACAAUACUGAUGGGGGAUACAGAUGCCCUGGUCCUUAGAUUUGUCCUGCUAAAGCUCAGGCUCUGCUCCCUCUCAGCCUACUCCCUCACUCCAGUUUGGUCCCUGCUUUGUGAAGGUACCUGUGCAUGCUCAAGGGAAGUGCUGUCCAGAACAAAGAUGAACUCUCCAGACUUGCACUGCCCAGGUUUUGCAUCAUGGAUGUUGGGUGCCAGUGUAACCAACACCAGGGAAUCACCCAACAGAGAGCCUGGGGGAGAUACACAGUGCAAUGAAGCCCAGUUUUGGAUCACUUUCCAGAUCCUAGUUCUGUUCCUCAUUGUGCUCUCAGCAUCCACUCUCCCAGAGACCCUGAUACCCCAUACUGGUGCCUUGAUACUCUACUGUACUGUCCACCAAUUGCACAGCCCAGUAUCCCACCAGCCCAGUGUCUCCAAUACAGUUACCCAGUAAGCCCUAAUACAGAGUCCACUGUACCCAUCCUGGUACAUCUAAUACUUCACCACAGUGUACUCAGCACCCCACCCUGGAGCCCUAAGACCCCCACCAAGUCAUCUGGAUGUCUCCCACACAAUAGUCCAAUGAAGCCUCUCAUUCCUCAGUCCCCACUGUCUCCCUGCGUCUCAGCACCUCCUGAUACCCAGAGGUGCCCCCAUGUUCCCUCUUCAACUGAACUCACCUGCAGUGGCCACAGGGUCUCCUUUCUCCACCACAACACUGACUGCAGUGGGUUCUCUGUAAUAUACCAGCAGCUCCAAAUGAUGAUUUGGGGGAGUGCCAGCCAGUGAGACCUGGAGAAGGGUUGCCUGGUCUUACACAGGAGGAAGAAAGCCAGGCCCAGCAUUAGACUGGGAGCACAGCACUGAUCCCAGUGCAUCCCUUUUGGCUCAGUGGUGAUGCCACUUGACAGCUCUUCCUGGGACUCUGGCAUUCAGGAGGGCGUACCUGUGCAGUACUGUGGUCCUGGGCAGUGUAGAUCAAAGGAGUGAGGGCACAGUUAGCCUGGACAUCAGCCACACCACGGGGUGACUGCAGGCUGGCAGUUAGCAGGAGGCUGUAAUGUAGCUUGCCAGUGCGACAAUUACAGGCUGCAGGAAGAAAUAUGGCAUAAAGGAGGACAUUGGCUCUCCAUGCAGUGCAUGUGGCAUUUGGCAUCCAUGUAUAGGACAUGUGGGGAUAACUGGGGAUGUCACAAAAUUGUUUGGAAGUGUUUCUGAGUUUAUAUAUGGGAAAUUCAUGAGGGAAAUAUGGAUCCACUUCAAAGGACACAAGGAAAGCACAGAUCUGCUCAGGGGCUGCAUUGUGGCAAAAUGUCAGUGAGUGCAAAGGAGGUUGCAUUGGGUCUGUUCAUAGAGUGCAUGAGGAGUGUGGUUCUUCUCAGUCACGUACCCUUGUCUAGGGCAUGUAACUGUCAGGGCAGGUUUCUUUUAGGGUUACUCACUGUAGUGAGUCUUGUAAGGAUGCAUUGUGGAUGGCAGCAUAAACUGGGCUGCUCCAUCUGGCUUCCGUGAUAGCUCUUGGACAUAGCGUAAGGUCACAACCAUUUCCUUGCCAGGGGACAGGGAACCCAGGAAGCAGGCAAACACCUCGCCUGAUUCCGUAACCUCAUACUGAAGGUAGUCAAAAUUCUCCCCCUCCCCUGUAGAGCCUCUGUACAGCUGCUGGGUCUGAAUGGGAAGGAGAGGAACAGAAGGCUGGUUGCUAAUCAGGCCAUGGGCUGCUCAUCCCAGGCUGCUCUCAUGGUUCUCUCAUGCUUUCCCAAAUGCUGGUACCUCAUCCUGCAGCACAGCCUUGAUCUUGGCAUCCUCACUGCAGGCCUGGAAGGAAUAGAUGGCCAUAUGGGGGCCCAGGGGGAAGACGAAGGUGACUUCUGAGGAUCUCAGACUCUUGUUAUGGUAGAUCAGUUCAGAGACCACAUCAGCUACAUAAUCCUGGAUAGCAACAUCCACCACAGCACUACAGAGGGGCAGUGAGCACAGGGGUACGUAGAACUCCUUUCCCAACAAAAAGGAUCCUGGUACUGUUGAGAGAGUUGCAAACUGUCCAUCCAAACCCACAAACAACACACUGCUUCAAGUGUGCGGCUGUUGACAUUAUGGAGACCAAUACAGCUGACAGUUCAGUGCUGCACAAGGAGAGAUUCUCCCCCCUCAAGGGUAGAAGGGGAUCCUAAGUCUUUGUGCAUGGAUUAGAUACAGCAUUGUUGAGGAUCUAGUAGGAGCCUACCAUAAGAAAUCUGAUCUACUUGUACAUCCCAGCUUCUUUUCCCCAUCCAUGCCCCUGUUCCCCACCCUGAUCCUGUAGAUCCCUUCACCAUUCCCAUCCUUGUUUCCCUUCACAAGAUCCAGUCCAGACAUUUCCCACUACAGCAACCCAUCCUUCUCCUUUCUUUACCUCUUUUUGGGAGCAUCCCCUACCCCCUAAAUGUCCCUCAGCUCUCUGAUCCCCCCCUCACCAUUGAUGUAACUUUUUUCUAGAAGUCCAAAGCUCUGAUGCGACAUCUCUGGAGACCUGCAGACAGGAAGGGGUCUCAUGUAAGAAGAGAGAUCCACAGACAACACCAGGCAACCUCUGUGUGGUCAAGAUUCCUUGUAAUUUCACCAUGCUUACAUACAUGCGUGGAGGCCCUAAGCCACCAUGCACAGCCAGAGCAAAUCCACAGAUUCAGAAAUCCCUGUUCAUGAAGACUAACCAGGAGUAUUUUUGCAUUAAAGAGGUCUGCACCCCAUCCCCACCAUGGGAAAAUUCUGAAGAGAGCUGAAGAAUAGUGAAAGGAGAUAAAAGGAAAGGAGGUGUGAAAGCAAGAGUGGAUGGAUGGAUUGAUGGAUGACAGUACAUAUCUGCACUGGCAGAUCAGCAGAUGGGAUGCAUUUGGGGACAGGCAGAUGCAGAAGUAUACAGAGGCAAGAAUUUUUGUUAAGUAGAUGGAUAGAUGGACAAACAAGUGGAUGGAAGAAUGGAUGGGUGGAUGAAUGGAUGGGUGGAUGGAUGACUUAGAAGGUGGAGGGAUCCAUUUUUGAAGAGAUGAGUGGGUACCCAUCAUAAACAGUAGAGUGUUAAUAUGGCUGCACAAGAGAUUGCACCUGUGAAGUAUAUUCUUGAAGUAACACGCAAGGGCAGACUGAAAGGCCAGGCAACGUGGAGGAACAUAGCAGAGAGAGAAAUGAAGCCAGGGUCCAUGGUGGCAGAGCAAAUAAAUCCCAGAAAGGCACCAGUGGGAGGGUGUUGUAAAUAAUAAUAAAUAAAUAUAAUACAUUAUUUAUUAAUAAUAUAUAUAUAUAAAUAAAAAUAAAUAUAACAAUAAUAAAUAAAUAAUAAAAUAAUGUUUUGUUGCCCUCUGACAAAGUAUCUGGAGGUGAAUGGGUUUUCCCACCUCUACCCCAAACCCAACCGUAUGUCUCUCUUGAUAUGGAAUUUCCAUGGUUCCUGCUCUGAGGUGGCAGGAUGAGCAGCAUCAGGAAAAUCCCCACCCUGCCAUCAUGCUGACAGUGGACAGGCAGAGCAAAUAGGGUGCACAUCCUCUGGGGAGCAGGGAUAAGGAAUGGUCAGAGGGAUUAACUGAAUAGGGUCAAUCUCUUCCCAGUGGGUGGGGGACAAUGAACAGAGAACAGGGAGAAAGUAACAAAAUGAAGGACGAACAAGCAGACACUCACCAGAAUAAUGGCCUAGGUCAUCAGCUGGGACGAGACAGACAAUCAGAGUAGGGAGGGAGAGAUGGAAGAAAAAGGAUAGAGAGUAAGAGGUAGAUGGAUGAGAUUUGAGGUGGAAACGGGGGGGAGGGGGGGAAGGAGAGACAAGAGUAAGAGAUGUUCAGGCAGAUAGGAAGAUGCAGGGCUAUGUAAACAGGGACGACUGCAGUGAAGACAGGAGAGGAAGGGCGGAGAGACAGACGGACAGACAAGGGAAGGCGGGCAGGGGCGGGGACAGGCGAGUCGGGGGGACCUCCAGGGCGGGGAGCCUCUGCUGCAGCAUGCUCUAUGCACACGGGCUUGUGUGCGUAGAUAUAGCCAGCACUCGUUGGCCAAAGGAAGCUGCUGCAAAUUACUCAGCAGGACUGCUCCUGGCCAAGCAGCGUCUGCCACACCUUCUCCUACCGCCCAGCGCUUCUGCUGUGUCGUCACAUCUGAUGCAAUUAACUGCUAAGGGCGUUUGUAAACAGAGUGGUGAUUGGUGUGUGCCCGAGGCAGUGCCACUCUUUCUUCCGCAGUCUUGUCUUGUUGCCAGAUUUGGAGGCUUGGCUCAGGUCCAUAUACUGAUUAGUGCUGGGCUGUUAAUUGAGUGAGGGAUUGCAAAGCUGCAAGCCCAACAUUCUGACCAGCUGAAUAAGAGAGAGAACUAGUAGAUGUACCCAAACUCACAAACCUCCUUUUUGUGGGAAUCAAAUGUUGUAUCUGCAUUAGAAUUAGGUAAUAUAUUUCUUUUUUUCAUGGUCUCCGCUGCCAUAGUUGCUCUUGGGAGUCUUUCUACUUUACUUUGGGGGGGGGGAGGGUCUCUGAUAGUUUGCAUCGCUUAAUCCUCUAGACGAACCUUCCCCAGGAAUGCAUGCUCAAUAUAUAGGUGAAUAUAUGUAUAUUUUUAUAUACUAUAUAUAUAUAUGUAUAUGUAUAUAUUUGUAUAUAUGUAUGUAUAUGUAUAUAUAUAUAUCUAUAUAUUUUGAUAUACAGAGAACAAGUCAUGACAUACCCAAGGAAGCACCUGAAGAGACAUUGGGAAGGCCUGGCAUCCCCUCCAUUCCCCCCCCCCCCCCCCCCCCCCCCCAGUAAUCUUUGUUUAAUGAAGACUUUGAAGAAAAUCACCUUAUCACUAUGACUGAGCCAUCUUGGGGACAACAGGAUGGCUUGGCUACUGACCUGACUGACGCCAGAUAACACACGAAUUAACAAAUGUAAACCUUUGAUAAAAUUGUGAACCUGGAGUACCCAGCCAAUGGGGAAACAGGGAAGGGGGAUAGGCAAAGGGGGACACAAGGUACAAAAGACAGAAGCUGUCAUUGAGUCCUUCGGGGUGCUCCUGCUUGUGGGACGCCCGCCAUUGCAAUCACAAAUAAAAUCUGCUUUUAUCAGAGAUACCAUCCUGACAAAAUUAUUUGGAUAUUUCCAGCAUUUUGACUUGGGUAUCUUCUGUCCUUGCUAGACUGGAAUACUCUGUCUUCAGCUUCCUUGCAUAAGCCAGCUCCAUACUCAUGCCUUCUUGGCAGCAGCUUGAGACAAUCCACCUCAUUUGUGGUCUACAGAUGCUCAAGGGGCCAAAUCACACCUGACUUCAGACGCAUUUAUCCCAGAGCAUACCCUGACUGUCUCUUUUCUAUGAGUGUGUAUAGGACUGAACUCUUACUUCUCCACCAAACCUGGGCAGCUUCCUUCAAACUGCCUCUCAGGUUUGGUGUGCUCUUCAGAAAAAACAACACGGAGGGCUGUGCUGGUGGUGCCACAACCUUGAUCAUCACAGACAAUUCUGGCUGCC